GAUUGUUAGUCCAAAGGAUUUCCCAGUUGAUUUUUGGGACCAGAAAUCAAAUUCAAAUAUUUUUCAACAAUCAUCUCCGGUGAGUAAUCAGUGAAAUAGCCAUUCUCAACUUCUAACCCAAAUUGAGCCGCAAGAAUCUCCACGUGUCUCUGGACCCGAUCUGCUCCAAUCUGAUUAGGCUCCAACAGAACACAAGCUAUCUCCGUCGUAUCAUCAUCGUGAAGAAGCCCUAUGGUUUGCACCGUCGGCAACCCACCUCCUCUGCCACUCACCAUCCGCGCUAUUCUCCGAGUGGCCGACACGUCCGUCGACAAUAUCGGAAUAUUGUACAUCGCCGUCCACGGACGCGCACCGAUCAUCGUGAUUCCUCUCGCUCGAGAUACUGUAUUUGGUCCUUCAUCAGGGUUCUCCGGCAAAAUUUCCGGCAUGGACCACCCGGCCCAUUGGUUCCCCUUGUAGUUGGGCCGGAAAUACCCAAGCUCACGCCUCAAAUCAUCCGGCGCUUUCCCACUUGGGUGAGCCGCAGAGUAGAGAAAUACAGGCACUUGAAACAUGGCGGCAAUGUCUUUAGCGACGGCCUUAGCUAGCCACGCGGCUUCGUGGAGGGAGGCCCGAGCGAGUGGAUGAAAAACGAUGUCGUCUACGACUCCUAGGCGCGGGUGAGUACCAGAAUGGGUCUCGAGGUUGAUGUUAGAGAAAGCAACCUGGGUCAUGGCUAGCACGGUUUGAAGCAAUGGGCUGUAAAUGGCGU
rnacentral:misc_RNA from 1 species